rnacentral:lncRNA from 1 species
GGGAACUUGGAUGCUGAUCGGUCUUUUUAUAUUCAGCUGUGGUUGAUUUGAAUACUGGCCCCUUGUGAUAGUAACAGUUAUGCAAAAAUACAACAGAGAGAAUGGUAAAUCAUAGGAAACUAAUGAACUGUAUUGACUGAACUAUGCCAUGUAUCAUGUUUUGUAUUAUUAAAGCUAUAGUUUAUAUUAUUUUCAUUAGCAAACUAUCCCAUGACGAUCGUGUAGAGAAGAACGUUAAGAAAAGGAAGUAUAGUGCAGAUAUUUUACAGUAUAGUUUUAUCUCAAUAAUUAUAGCAGGAAUUGAGAUAAACUGCAAUGAGUUAUUUGUUGUGAAGUUCUAUCAGCCGAAUUUAUGAAGCCAAACAAGCUAAAAUGCC